UACGGGGGGGGCAAGCGUUGUUCGGAAUUACUGGGCGUAAAGGGCCAGUAGGCGGCCAACUAAGUCGGAUGUGAAAUCUCUGGGCUUAACCCAGAAAGGUCAGCCGAUACUGCGGGGCUAGAGUGCAGAAGGGGCAACUGGAAUUCUCGGUGUAGCGGUGAAAUGCGUAGAUAUCGAGAGGAACACCUGCGGCGAAGGCGGGUUGCUGGGCUGACACUGACGCUGAGGCGCGAAAGCUAGGGGAGCGAACGGG
rnacentral:rRNA from 1 species